CCGACAACCCCCUGUGGCUCAUCUUUUGCACGAGCGGGAUCGGCGAGAACGGGAGCUUAGCCACCGCGCGGCCUUCAAACAGCGAGUUCAACAGCCCGAACACGACGAACAGCACGACGCCGACGACGGCGCCGGACUUGAACUUGGAGAGGGAGAGGUCGCGGGUGGACUCCUUGAGGCUAGUUUCGACGCGGUCGAGUUUCUUGGAUUUGGAUUUCUUGGGGGCGAGGGCGGCGGAGGGGGUGGGGGAUUUUAGGGUUUCGAGUUUUUUGG
rnacentral:misc_RNA from 1 species